AGCUCCAAUAGCGUAUAUUAAAGUUGUUGCAGUUAAAAAGCUCGUAGUUGGAUUUGUGGUCUGUACGAUUCGGUCCUAUGCUUGUUGCGUGGGUACGUGAAUCGUUCGUCCAUCCUUGGGUGGAAUCUGUGUGGCAUUAGGUUGUCGUGCAGGGGAUGCCCAUCGUUUACUGUGAAAAAUUAGAGUGUUCAAAGCAGGCUUAUGCCGUUGAAUAUAUUAGCAUGGAAUAAUAAGAUAGGACCUUGGUACUAUUUUGUUGGUUUGCGCACCGAGGUAAUGAUUAAUAGGGACAGUUGGGGGUAUUCGUAUUCCAUUGUCAGAGGUGAAAUUCUUGGAUUUUUGGAAGACGAACUACUGCGAAAGC
rnacentral:rRNA from 1 species